rnacentral:rRNA from 1 species
AAAUUGAAGAGUUUGAUCAUGGCUCAGAUUGAACGCUGGCGGCAGGCUUAACACAUGCAAGUCGAACGGUAACAGGGAGAAGCUUGCUUCUUUGCUGACGAGUGGCGGACGGGUGAGUAAUGCUUGGGAAUCUGGCUUAUGGAGGGGGAUAACUACGGGAAACUGUAGCUAAUACCGCGUAGUAUCGAGAGAUGAAAGACUGGG